AUGAUGUUUUGAUAUGCACAAUUAAGAAGCUUACCAUCAUUCUCGACGAAGAAUCUCACCCCCCAGAUGUGUACUUCUCUCUCAAAGAAUAAACUUUUAAUCGCGGGAUGUACCUGCUUGGCGAUCGGCUUCAUUUCCGCUUUGUCCGGAAUAAUGACUUCCGUCUGGGCAGUUAAAGAAUAUUCGGACAACCAGGGCUUUUUGAAGUCUGUGACCUUUGGACUUUGGCAUUUUCGGCGAUGUGGAGGAUUCCGGAUUAAUGGAGAGUGUAACAAGGGUGAACUUCAACAGACGGACAUUCAAUAUUUUGGUGCUGAAGGUUUGUUGUUGAGUAGUUAAGGAGGCACGCGCCCCGUUACGUCAGUGACACUUGUAUAUUCUACUCUCUGCUUUAUUUCUGUUUGGUUGUUGAUCUGACAUGCAUGAUUCAUGAAGCAUUGAUUUCGGUAGUCCGCGCUCGCUCGUAAUCCGUCUGCAUUUUACAACAAGGCACGCGCGCGCUACUUGCAGCGAACAUCGGAAGAAUUAAGAUAAAUCUCUUUGAUGCCAUUUAUAUUGAUAGAUGCGGAUAUUUGUAGGAAAGUUUACACUGCAGUAAGAUUCGACGUUUAAUUUGCAGUAUUGCGCGUGAGUCGCCUCUAAUGGUGAAGUUCGUAAUACCGAACAGAAAAAUGAGAACAUUUUAGCGUCCUUUUGGAACAACUUCCUCCAUGCAACAAGGAAAGCCUAAUUCAAAGACAAGGUGGUUUCGCCUUACACAAGCCGUGGAAUGCCUGGGUCUGAUCUGUAUGGUUAUAGCUUUACUUAUCCUUCUCCUAUACUUCUUCGUAUCCUCGUGUAAACAGAGAAAAGCGCUGUACGCCAUCAUACUAUUUACUUUCCUGUCAGUUUUGUUCAUUGUUAUUGGAAUCGCUGUUUUUGGUGGGAAAAUGGAGCAGAUGGGCUAUUCUGUGGGCUGGUCGAUGGGUCUAGCCAUUGCAGGGGUAGUGUUGGCAUUUUUGGCGGGAAUAAUGGAAGUCUUAGAACUCCGCUGAUCUCACUUUCUGCCUCGACAUUUAUUUGUGCCAAAACUAUUGGUCACUUUUUUCGUGGCCUUUGACGUAUAUUCAGAUCGGACGUCGUGUAUUAACUAGCAUCGAGUCAAUGUUGUCAAGACUCUUCAACAAAUAACAUUUUCUUCUGAUUGCAUGUUUUAUGUUUUAAAAUUAAAUACUCGUUUGAUGUUGUAAUUUCUUGAAGAUAUACAGAGUACAACAUUUACAUUUGUAAUAAAAGCAAUAUUUUUUUGUUCU
rnacentral:misc_RNA from 1 species